rnacentral:rRNA from 1 species
CCUACGGGUGGCUGCAGUCGAGGAUCUUCGGCAAUGGGCGCAAGCCUGACCGAGCGACGCCGCGUGUGCGACGAAGGCCUUCGGGUUGUAAAGCACUGUCGAGGGGGAGAAAAGCCCGCAAGGGCUUGAUCUAUCCCUGGAGGAAGCACGGGCUAAGUUCGUGCCAGCAGCCGCGGUAAGACGAACCGUGCGAACGUUGUUCGGAAUCACUGGGCUUAAAGGGCGCGUAGGCGGAUGACCAAGUCGGGGGUGAAAUCUUUCGGCUUAACCGGAAAAUAGCUUUCGAUACUGGUCAUCUCGAGCGAGGUAGGGGCAUGCGGAACUUCCGGUGGAGCGGUGAAAUGCGUUGAUAUCGGAAGGAACUCCGGUGGCGAAAGCGGCGUGCUGGACCUCUUCUGAUGCUGAGGCGCGAAAGCCAGGGGAGCAAACGGGAUUAGAUA